rnacentral:misc_RNA from 1 species
UACGGAGGGUGCAAGCGUUAAUCGGAAUUACUGGGCGUAAAUCGCACGCAGGCGGUCUGUCAAGGCGGAUGUGGAAUCCCCGGGCUCAACCUGUGAACUGCAUCCGAAACUGGCAGGCUAGAGUCUUGUAGAGGGGGGUAGAAUUCCAGGUGUAGCGGUGGAAUGCGUAGAGAUCUGGAGGAAUACCGGUGGCGAAGGCGGCCCGCUGGACAAAGACUGACGCUCAGGCGCGAAAGCGUGGGUAGCAAACAGG